UACGAAGGGGGCUAGGCGUUGCUCGGAAUGACUGGGCGUAAAGGGCGCGUAGGCGGUUCGUACAGUCAGACGUGAAAUUCCCGGGCUCAACCUGGGGGCUGCGUUUGAUACGUGCGGGCUUGAGUUCGGAAGAGGGUCGUGGAAUUCCCAGUGUAGAGGUGAAAUUCGUAGAUAUUGGGAAGAACACCGGUGGCGAAGGCGGCGACCUGGUCCGAUACUGACGCUGAGGCGCGAAAGCGUGGGGAGCAAACAGG
rnacentral:rRNA from 1 species